UCCUUGGUGGUCCAGUGGUUAGGACUCGGGGCUUUCACUGCCAUGGGGCCAGGUUCAAUCCCUGGUUGGGGAA
rnacentral:tRNA from 1 species